ACGAACGCUGGCGGCAUGCCUAACACAUGCAAGUCGCACGAGACCUUCGGGUCUAGUGGCGCACGGGUGCGUAACGCGUGGGAACCUGCCCUUAGGCUCGGAAUAACUCCCCGAAAGGGGUGCUAAUACCGGAUAAUGUCUUCGGACCAAAGAUUUAUCGCCUUUGGAUGGGCCCGCGUUGGAUUAGCUAGUUGGUAGGGUAAAAGCCUACCAAGGCGACGAUCCAUAGCUGGUCUGAGAGGAUGAUCAGCCACACUGGGACUGAGACACGGCCCAGACUCCUACGGGAGGCAGCAGUGGGGAAUAUUGGACAAUGGGCGAAAGCCUGAUCCAGCAAUGCCGCGUGAGUGAUGAAGGCCUUAGGGUUGUAAAGCUCUUUUACCCGGGAUGAUAAUGACAGUACCGGGAGAAUAAGCUCCGGCUAACUCCGUG
rnacentral:rRNA from 1 species